GACGAACGCUGGCGGCGUGCCUAAUACAUGCAAGUAGAACGCACAGUUUAUACCGUAGCUUGCUACACCAUAGACUGUGAGUUGCGAACGGGUGAGUAACGCGUAGGUAACCUGCCUGGUAGCGGGGGAUAACUAUUGGAAACGAUAGCUAAUACCGCAUAAUAUUAAUUAUUGAAUGAUAAUUAAUUGAAAGGUGCAAUUGCACCACUACCAGAUGGACCUGCGUUGUAUUAGCUAGUAGGUGAGGUAACGGCUCACCUAGGCGACGAUACAUAGCCGACCUGCGAUGGCUAUCGGGCACACUUGGAGUGUGACGCGGCCCUGACUCCUACGUGUGGCAGCCGUAGCGAAUCUUCGGCAAUAGACGACAGCCUGACCGAGCAACGCCGCGUGAGUGACGAAGGUUAUCGGAUCGUAAAGCUCGGUUGUAAGAGAAGAACGGGUGUGAGAGUGGAAAGUUCACACUGUGACGGUACCUUAGCAGAAAGGGACGGCUAACUACGUG
rnacentral:rRNA from 1 species